CUCGCUAAGUCGCUUCUGCACGGUCGGGCUCUGCAGGCAGAAGCCCCUGGUCUCCCCCCGCGGGGACACGUGGGAGGCUCUCUCGCGGGAACAGAGCGGCCUGGGCUCAGGGAACCAGCCCCGCGCCGGGAAGAAAGCUGCCUGCCGGGAGCGCAUCCUCGUGAGGAUCCGGAACCCGAGCCGCCGAGGCUCACCCAGAGGCGGUGGGGCCCUGGGGUGCGUGUGGGACGCCCGGCGCGCAGACUCUGGGCACGGCCAGAAAGGAAACUUUGAAGAGGAACUUUUCUACUGCCUGCAUCAUGGACGUCCUGGGAAAAGCAGGUAGAAUGGAGUCACCAUGACAUUGAGCUGGAUGCUAGACUUGGAGAUGGAUCUAGUACAUGACUCAAAGUAAGAGGUUGUGUUUGGCUGAUACCACCUGUGUCUGUCUGGAGUCAGCUAUGAGGGUAGAAGCUCCUUGAGCCAGGAAUGCUACUAUUUCCAGAUAUUGGCAGACUGCUGGCCUCCCGAGGACCACAGGAAGGGGCCCGGCAGACUGGUAGUAAAGGUCAGAAAUGGAGAGUGUCUGAUUAAGAGGAGCUGACCGACGCCAAGAGGAGCUGACCGACGCCUGCAGGUUUCCUCCCCAAGAGCGGCGAGCCUGUCAGAGCUGCACCUGGGCCUUUCUGUACCUGGGAGAGAGUUUGGGCAUGAUUGGCUUCCCACAAACAUGUGGGGCUUGAGGAGUGCACUGACUCUUUUCCACGACUGAUGUCAUCCACAUCCGUGCCUGUGCAUCUGGCCAGGAGAGUGACUGUCAGUGUUGAGGGCAGUGUGAUAUGGCUGGCUAGAUGCUUCUGAUGGUUUCUCUCGAGCUCAGCCUUUGCACGUCAUCUGUGUGAGCCAGAGGGAAAGCUAGGGUGGAGAUGGACCAUCCUGGGUAAGCUGGGAUCCCACUGUGAGAUUUCACACCAUGGGGUGUCAGAACCUGUAGUGCUGGUGGCAGCUGUGGCGGGGGUGGGGUGGCAUUCCUGUCCUUUGCCACUCAUUGGCUGUGCCACCUUGGAAAAGUUAGCUAAACCCCUUGGUGCCUCAAUCUUCUUUGUCCCAUGGCAAUCUGAGUAGUCCAGACCUGGAUGGAUGACUCUGAGGUUUCGAUGAGGUCAUAUAUGCAAAAAGUUUUUCUGCAGCAGCAUUCUUUUUAUUUAAAAAGAUUUUUCAAAAUGGGAAUUCUUACAAAAAGGAGUACCUGACCUCAAUAUCUUUGGGCGUCUGGGAUUGAGGGGUGUUCCUGAGUGGGCAUCAGGGAUUGAUGAACCCUUGUGUAAUAGUUCAAGAGGAAAGAAACAUGAAAUGCAGCUUUAACAGUUAAAGACAGAUUUACUUUAGAUAAAACCUAAGAGGGGGCUCUGGCUGAUUUUGGACAGGAGUGCUUUCUCUUACAGACUAAGAGUACAUACUGGUUUGGGGAUGAGGGGCUUUUCACAAGCUUGGAAUGUUUCUGGGUUGGGGAGAAGUUUAUGGCAGGGUUGGAGUGUUUCUGGGCAGAGGGGAGGUUAUCUUGGGGCGAUCUUCCCAGCUGGAGUGGGGUUAUCUUGGGUCUAGCGUGUCUGUGGUUGCGGAGGAGUUUGGAAUGUUUCUGGUCGGAGAUGUUAUUUGUGGUUUAUGACCAUGGUGACCUUAGCCAUUAGGCUGAUGCCCUUUGGCUUUAGGUGGUUUUUGAUUAAGGUGGAUUUUAAAAUGAGGUUCUAGUCCACGACGGCGAGGCUCCCGCUCUAUCACCUUGCCCCCCUAAAUUGCAAAGCUUUGUUUUUGUGUAUGCAUAUAUAAAUUUUUUUUCCCCUAGGAGCAAAGGCAAUAGUUUAACUAAGAUGCUCAGAGGGGUCAUGACGUAAAGAUUGGAUGCCUGGGGCGAGGGGUGUUUCAAGUGCCUUUAUUUUAGACCAGAGCUUCUCACCCUGAGGAAUAUUGCCAUUUGGGGCCGAAUCAUUCCUUGUUGUUGCAGACUGACUUGUGCAUUGCAGGAUGAGUAGCAGCAUCUCUGGCUCUACCCACAAGACACCAGUAGCACCCUCCACUCCAUCCCCACCUUAGUUUUGCCGAUAAAAAAUGUCUUCAGACAUUGUCCAAUGUCUCUGGGGAGGUGCUGGGGGGGAAAAAUUGCCCCAACUGAGAACUGCUACUUUGUAAUGUUCUGAGUUGGAGUGAGCCCUCGAUAAGUGGUUAUUAUUUGCUGUGUUGAAGUUUGGCAAGGUUUCUCUUCUGGACAUUGUCGAUCUCCUCCUAUUUCUGUGUACUGCUUAAAGGACCCAGAGCAAUCCUGGGAAAGUUGACAACUACAGCUCUUCCAAACUCCAGCCCCAUUGGAUAUAUAAACUCUAUCCUCUCAUUGGUUGAGGCAGCCCGAUCAACUGGAACUUGGUUCUUACUGUGUUUCUCCUUAUGCAAGCCUGAAGGAUCCCAGCCUGGGCAACAUGGUGAGACCCUGUCUCUACAAAGAAAAAAAAGAGAGAGAGAGAGAGAAAAGAAAAUUCAGCAGGGUGUGGUGGCACAUGCUUGUAGUUCCAGCUACACAGGAAGCUGAGGUAGGAGGAUCACUUGAUGCCAGGAGUUUAAGGUUGCAGAGAGGUAUAAUUGUGCCAUUGCACUCCAGCCUGGGUGACAGAGUGAGACCCUGUCUACACACACACACACACACACCCCCUAAAAGUUUUUGAGAGCAUAAAGUGCAACAUAAAUCUUUCAGUCCUUUACCAUUAGUUAAAAUACGAGCUACAAUUAAAUGAAACGGUUUUGUGGGGAGCAAGAUCUUGAGGUAGUCUUCAUUUGUGGUGAAUACAUUUCUGUUUAACCACGAGCCUCAGUAGUUUCUCUCUCUGAGUAGUUCCUCAUUCAGGGGAAAGAUUGGAGAAGGUUCUAAUGAGGAAGGACCAGCAGGAGACAGAGGUGGAAGAAAAGUUGGAUGCAUUUGAAGUCUCCAUUAUUUAGGAGGUGGCCUAAGAUCCUGGGGAGCAGGGUGGGCACCUCCUUUUGGCACCCUGGAUGUGAGGAAGGUCUCCAACACCGUUUUGGCUGCUGCUCUGUUGUCGCAUCCUCCAUGGAUGGUUCGGUCCUUCUCUUGUUGGGCUUCUUGUAUAACUGCUCUAAAAACCUCCCCAGGAAUUCCAUACAACCCGUGGAAGUGUUGCUGAGUAGGAGUGAGGAAUCUUUCUUCAGAUCUUUGAGAAUCUUUGUUUCUGGGUGAUUCCAGAGCUUGCUUUGGGGCAGCCCUUCAUUCACAAGUUUAGCAGCAGCGUAAUUGCUCCAUGCUGAGGUUUCCCAGGAAUGGCACAGAGCACCAGAAGCAAGCUUUGGAAACACAGCUGGCGCAAAGGAGUGACUCUAUGCCUUGGUGUAGGGAAGCAGGUUCUAGCUUUUGCCCUGAGUUGGUUGACGGCCCCAGGUAUCACACAGAGUAUCUUUCUAUUACAAGAAUCAGCAUGGAGUUGAAUUCUAGGAGAAAUGUCUCAGUGGUAUUGGGUGCGGCCAUUGGAGCCUCCUUUCCGGUCAUGCAGACCUGGCUGUCAUUUGGGCACACAGCUGGUCCUGUGAACUUGGUGCUUAAGAUUCCAAUUAGCACCUUGUGAUACCAUGGUUGUGCCACAGAAGAAGGUAACGUGGAGAUGAACAGAGCUGUGUGAUGUGUGUAUACCGUAGAAGUGCUGCUGGCUGUUUCCAAGGCAUUGAAGAGGCUCUCUGCAGAGGUGGUUGUUAUCCCAGGACUCUGGAAAUAAUGACGCUCGAACAUUGGCUGCCACAUGGUAUAGACAAAAUCAGUGUUGCAGGUCAUCGCUGUUAUCAGAAAUUCUGGUUUCCCAUGAGUGUGGUGGCCACAGUGCUGGAGUAUCAGAUUUGGAGUCAAUUGCAAACACGCCUCCAAGAAUACAUCUCUUAAAGCCAGGCACACUGCAGAGAGGAUUGUGGUGUGGAUUAUCCUAGCAGCGUCGAGUCCUCUCAUUUGCUGUAUAUAUAGACAGCAUAGCCAAUGUUGGAGCACGUCCAGCCUCCACAGGUGGGGCCCCAAUCUUCUAAAUCUAACUCAGGAGAGCCAGGGAGGGAUGCUGAAGAGCUGAUGAUUGGGCUGACCCUGGAUUGACCUCCUUUGGAAAUCAUGGAAACUAUGGGCAGCCUGUGACAACCAGCUCUUUAGGAGAGUGGGUUUCUUGCAUGUAUUGGUAGGGCCUCAGCUGUAGGUAAUAGGAGGUAGGUACCGCACUGGAGGCCUCAGAUGGCCCUAGGAACUAGUCUUGAUGCCUUCUGUCUACACUAGGCUCUUCUAGGAAGAAGAGAAAGACCCCACAGGUUUGCUCAUUGUGGUUGGCAGGGUGGUUGGGGGGGACCUCACCUGCUACAGGGCUGGGCCAGAACUCUAGGGGUCGAGGGUAUCUUCUGGGAAGUCUCUGAUGACUGUUGCUUCUCAGGGCUGUUUUGAGGGACACAGUUGGUUGAAGCGCCUUCUUCGGUGUGUUUUCCCUGAAACGUGUCUCCAGUUUGUCCUGAAACAUGUCUCAAGUGACUGUGGCAUGGAGAGGGGUUCGUGGGUGUUCUCGUUCGGAAAGCAACCUGAUAACUGUGCAAGGCCUUUCUUGUGGUUCUCACUUUUUAGCCAGGUCUUGGAUUUUCUGGUUGUUUGCUUUCGCUUCCUCAAGCAUCACCUGCUCUCACUCCUGCCUGAUCCGGUGUCUGUCCGCUGGCAGACUUUUUGCCGAUGGCCUUCCUGGAGGCCUGUGAGAUUGUACCUUCAUUAUCCAGAUGAGCAUUGGUUCAGCCUCCUUCACUGUGAUCCUUGCACCGUCUCUCCUGCCCAGCUGACCCAGCCUCUCACUUGGGCCUGGGAGGCUGCAUCAUUUUAAACUUCCCUCUUUUUUCCUGACUCUGUUUGGACUACUAAACCAUGGCUUGCUACAGACCGCGUCCCGAAGGCUGGUGUGAGGUUUCACCUUGAAUUUUUGGGAGAGCAUUGGCUGUACCCAGGCCUCCCUUGUUCUUCGGGGUAUGGUUCCGUGACGCCUCUUUUUUUCAUCUGGAAGGGAAGAGGGCUGCCUCUUUUGAACCAUGGUGGACAGUAUUUUGCCCUGGGUUCAUCAUGAGUGGGCGCGUCAGACUUUGUUCUUACCCUGAGAUUCAACGGCUUUCUAACUUGUGGUGCUUUGGAUGCUGGGGAGGGUGAGGCAGGCAGGGUGGGGGCAGUGAGCGAUGGCCAAUGGCCAAUGGCAAUGGAAAUUGGGAUGUUGACCCACCAACUCUGUCUCUCAUAGGUUGAGGGACGCUCUGGGUAGGGGGGUUCCCUUUUCCAGGAUGUGUGGCCUCCCUGCCCUCUUGAGCCACUGUGGGGAUUCACUCAGGGUGGUGGCAAAAGUAUUAAGGGAAAAAUAUUAGAGAAAGUUACAGAAAAUAGUCACGAACCUUCUUGGAAGGCCAAGAAGUUUGCGUAGUUUUAGUAGAAGUUUCAGAUGAAGGCAGACUAAAUCCCCUUUACCUUUAGUUAAUAAGAAAAGCAAAUAGCUAAGGUACUUGAGGGGUUCGUCUGAAUAACUUGUUUCCUCCUGUGGUCUUAAAACUAACCUUUGAGCCAGAUGGCCUUCUCAGCGGGAGGUCGACCGAGGGGGCGGGGUUCCCUCUAAUGGUGUGGAGGCUCGGAAUCUGGCGUGUAAUCUUUCUCUACAAGUGUGUUGACUUAAAGUCUCUGUUAUUAAAUCUAUACUGAGUAAAUGGGGAGACGGCAGACUAGUCAUUGUCACUGAACUGCAACGAGUUAACCUGUGAGGAGCUCACGACCCCCAGCCCACUUGUUCACUGGAAAUUUUAUCUGAGUGCAUUUAUUCAUUGUCAUGCAGCUGGAGUCUUUGGGAUGGAGCCUUGCAGUCCAUCUCUUUCCCUGCUAUACUUUUGCCUGUGUCUCUGCAGCUUCUUAACAAUGAUUGUGGAUGUGCUUUGAAGUGCUUGGUUCUUGAUUAAAUGUCCUGUCCUCUGAGCAAAUAUCCUGACUUCAGUGAUUUCCCUAAAACCAGAGGUUAAGGAAAGUCACAGCGGAAAGGGAGUCCACAGCAGCCACCUCCUCCAGGAUUCCCAGGGCCACCUGGUGAGUGGGGUAUCUCUCCCUGAGGUGGUGUCUCUGGGCACAGCUCACACCCUUUCAGCCUCUGCCCUCUGGGUGCCCACAGCAAGCCCUGACCCUCUGUCCUGUCCCCACUGUCCCUGCCUUGGGUGAGAGAGGACAAUUGCAGCAGGGCCAGGGGCUCUUGGGAUUUAGGGUAUAGCUCUGUGGUCAGGCAGGACUCUUCACAAAUUUUAAAAACUCAUAUCAAAAACCUUUGCUUUUCCUUCACCUUGGAGUUCAGUUUGCAAUUUCUGUUCAGACGAAUUUCAGCAAGUUGUUUGUGGGGGUGGAUGAGACUCUGGGUUGCUUUCAGAGCAGUUAGUGAUGAGACUGAUGAUGACCCCUGGUCACGACAGAACACGUUAAUGGGUCCCAGGCUGGAGAUAAGCUCAUGUCUCCACAUUCAAGAGGGGGCAGGACUGGUUUCAGGCCCUGAGCUUGGUUCAAUGCUCUGCUGCUGUCCUAAUGAUUAAUUGAAUAAUUAAAUGAUUAUUCAUCAUUUAAUGCUUAAUGACUUUUGAAGAAGGGGCCCUGCAUCUCUUUUCAGCGCUGGGACUUACAGAUCAUAUCCUUGGUCCCAAAGAGGACAGUCCCAAGGCAGAAGGCUGUCCUGAGCUGAUUGCUGCAGGCUGUGAGGUUGGGCUUGAGGAGAGCACCGAGGGGGACGGAGGGGCUUGCUUAGCAAAGGGGUUGGAUAGGAUGAAGAGGCCAGUGUUUUGGAUGAGUUUCUGGAGGGCAGGAGCAUUGUGCUUGCUGUGAUUAUUUGCUGUAUCACCAGACCGGGCUCCUGCGUGCAUGCGGGGGUUGGGCUGCCUUUGUGCCUCACCGUACCCUCCUGGGUGUGAGGACUUCACAAUGCACAGCCUGUACUAACGCUUGAAAAAAAGAAGUUGUCCUAUGACUGCUCACGACAAAAAAUGUCCUAUGAGCAAUGUCACAGCCACCGCACUGUAUGACAGUGAGGCGUGCUUCUUUGACAAGCAGCAAGUUUCCUGUCCAGAGUGCUGGUUAUGCAGAAACCAGGGGAGUUACUUGGUGUUGAUGAUGAGUGUAUCUCUGUUGCUGGCUUAAAGAGAUGGAGCCUGUGCCCUUUGGUGCGUGUCAGUGGGACUGGACUCUGUGACUGUUCUGUGCCUGCAAAGAACUUUUUGCCUCGGGCUCCUGGCGCUUCACUGUGGCUUCUUUGUGCAUCGCUACUGGGUUUGUUGUUCAUCCUUCCCCAUCACCCUGGGCAUGGGGCUGUUCAGUGCAUACACCUUGAACAUGUGCCCUUACCCGGAUGAGGGUGUGGUGGGUCCCGUCGUCCACUUCUGCCUCCUUCUGCCUGUGUCUGUGCUGAUGUCGUGCUUGCCGGUCGGCUGGGUGCUCCCACUCGGGGCCUGCAACUGGCCCAGUCAGUGUUGGUGACCUCUGACUGAUCAGUGUGCCCGCCUCACCACCGGCCUUCCCUACCCUUCAGUGCUGCUCCUUAGAUGAACUCCCCCUGCUCCUCACCUUGUGUGGGUUUGCUGGAGAAAAUCUUCCCAGAUGAUGCUGGGAGCCCAGGGGAGGGUCUCUGAAUGGCCUCCGCUCUGUCCUGGGGAGCUGCAGCUGCAGCAGGGGGACCUGGCGGUUGUUUUUCUGUGGGAGGGAAGGAGGAAGCCUCUGGUGCAGAGGGUGAGUUAAGCAUACUCCGCAGUACAUGGAAGUUUACGAUCAGCGGUCUAUGUGAGUUCCCUCUCUUGUUUUAUUCCCUUUGAAUGAGGUUUUUCCUAUGCCUCCCUCUCCCAUGGCGGGCAGUUGUUCCAGUGUAUCUUGGGUGCCUUUGAAUCAUUCUCAGCAAACUGACAUAAGAACAGAAAAUGAAAUACCACAUAUUCUCACUCAUAGGCAGUUGAGGAAAAAUGAGAACACAUGGACACAGGGAAGGGAGUACUACCCAAUGGGGUCUAUUGGGGGGAAUAGGGGAGGGACAGCAGGGGGGGCUGGGGGGGGUAUAGCCUGGGGAGAAAUGCCAAAUGUGGGUGAAGGGGAGGAAGGCAGCAAAACACACUGCCAUGUGUGUACCUAUGCAACUAUCUUGCAUGUUCUGCACAUGUACCCCAAAACCUAAAAUGCAAUUAAAAAAUACUCGAACAAAUCACUGUCACUGUUUUCCAUGUAGGUGCUUUUAAUUCACAUAGAUGGUAUCAUUCUACCAUUUCUCCUCCUCCUCCCUUUCUCAUUCAGUGCUAUGUUUUAAGAUGUGACUGUCCUCUCUGAAGUCUUAAAACUCACUGAGAUUUCCCAAAGAGCUUUUGUUUAUGUGGGCUAACACUGUUGCUGUGUACUACGUUAGAAAUGGAGACGCUUGAAAGAAUUCGUUUGAGAAUAGCAGUGAUGGACUCAUUGCAUGUUAACAUAAAUAACAUUUUGGCAUUAUUAUGAAAAUUGUUUUGACCUCGCAGAAUUCCUGUCCUAGUUAAGUGUCAGUUUGUUUUAGAAUAUGAAAGCGUACUGUGAGGGACAAAAUUUUGAAAGUGAAUUUUAUUUAUGUUGUUUUAUAAUACCUGGUUCUGGAAAGAAACUGAAAGAUACUACAUUUUAGUAAAAUCUGCUCUGGUUUCACGAGCUUGCCUCCUUGGUUACUGAUGAACACCAUUGCCUCAAACAGGAGAGGUGAUUCUGGAUAGCAAAGGUUCUGUAUCAUACCAGAAUGCUUUAUGGCGUUUCAUGUUCAAUUCGUAAUGCCCUAGAAUAGGACACAACAAAAGUUACUCGCUCAGGAGCAAGCUAUGUGCAUACUUCUCUGUUUAUUUUACUUAUGUAUUUUGCAGUUCAUGUCUGCAUAGGCUUUUGAAGAAAUUGAGAUCCUGUCUGCCUUUUUAAAGAGGAUGGGUCAAUGGCUUUUAGUAUAUGGCUGGGCUCUGCAGACACCACCCCUGUCUGCUGGUAGAACAUUACAAGAGGAAAGCCCACGCUCAUCAGCAGACACUUCCUGCUACUCUCCCGCUACCCCUCACCCCUUGACAACCCCUGAUCUAUUUUCUGUUUCCAUUCAUCAGGUGAUACACAGUUAGAAUGCUUCCACUCUUAGCUAUCAUGAAUGACGCCAGAAGCAUUUGUGUGCAGGUUUUUAUGGGGACAUAUGUCUUCGAUACUCUUGGGUCUGUUUAUUUUUUAAUGCCUUCGUAUCAAUUAAAUGAGUCGCCAAAGAUUGUUUCUCAGGCACCCACGAGCAUAUAUUUAUCAAGCAUCCAAAUCUGACAGCUCUUUAGAUGUUACCUUGCCAAAUUAGAUAAGAAAGAAAGAAAUAAAUAAAAAGGGGCUUUCGGGAUAUCUUGCACACCUAUGGUAAUUUCCUAGAGGAGCCUUGGAAAGUGACAGAGAUUUGUUCAUCCACCUUAUAUAAAAUGAGAGGUGCUAGAUUUGUUUGUGUUUCUAUGAUAAGAUUUACGUGAGAAGAAUUAUCAAAUUGGCAGAGAUGCUCAGCCUUCCCCAGGUUAAAGUUACAUAGACAAAAAUGUUACUGAUAAAUUAUUAUAUAUUUUAGAAAUUGUGUGUUUAUGGGAAGUCCCUGGUGAUUUGUCAAUGCCCUCACCGCCCGGAAUCCCUUUACCUUCAGGGAAAACACAGAUCCAGACUGUUGUGAAAUAGUUUGUACUGUCUCCUGAUAGAGAAGUUUACUCUCCUCCAUUCUGAUAUCAUUGGUUGUAGUAAUAAAUUAACCACAGCUAUGAAGUCUGUGUCAUCUGCAGAUAGUUUUUGGUUUUCUCUGAUGCUCGCUUGAAGGUCCAGCUCUAAGCUACAGGCUGCAGUUGGUGUCAUCAACAAAAAGAACAGUUUUAAAGCCUGGUGGUAAAUGACUGGACCAGGCACUUCCAACUAUCUGCAUUUUAUAGACUCGUGAGCACGAGCAUCUGAGCUAGCAUCACUUAAGCAGCUCUAAGAUUGUAACAGUGGACGGAGUCAGGAUUUCUAGGACUCUUUUUUAAUGACUUCAUGAAAGCAGAGAAUAUGAAUCCAAGAUCCAGUGGAACAAGAAUUUAUUACACGGGACUGCAUGAGGUGCUGUGGGAAUUUCAACAUAGUUCUUUUUAAACUCGUGUUAAGGUUGUUUCAGUGUUCUAUUUUCAGGCUCUAAAAGGAAACCUCUUCUUUCGCGCCAUGUAACACACCACAAUUUAGUGGACUCUGCUUUUGUAUACUGUAAUAAAAGAUUCUAAAAUGA